rnacentral:lncRNA from 1 species
AUGGAACCAAACAUCAAAACAGAAGAGCAACCUCCAAAGGGUCAAGAGGAAGACAAGCCAAAACCUGAUAUAACAAAUGUUACCAGAAAGCCAACAGUUAAAGAGCAAUUGGAGGAAGAGAAGACAGAGGAAACAAGUGAUGAAGAUUCAGAAGAAAAAAGUGAUGAAGAUUCAGAAGAAACAAGUGAUGAAGAUGAAAAGGAAACAAGUGAUGAAGAUGAAGAGAAGGAGAGGAUCACAAAGGAAGUUAAAGAGGAACCUUCUAAGUCAAGAAAGUCUGUGAAAGAUAAGGAGCAGGCUGAUUUUGGAGAGAAAGAAACCAAUACAGAAA